AGGAUUCUUCGGAAUCUUGAGAGCGGCGUACGGGUGCGGAACACGUGUGCAACCUACCUUUAUCUGGAGGAUAGCCUUUCGAAAGGAAGAUUAAUACUCCAUAAUAUAUUGAUUGGCAUCAAUUGAUAUUGAAAGCUCCGGCGGAUAGAGAUGGGCACGCGCAAGAUUAGUUAGUUGGUGAGGUAACGGCUCACCAAGACGAUGAUCUUUAGGGGCCUGAGAGGGUGAUCCCCCACACUGGUACUGAGACACGGACCAGACUCCUACGGGAGGCAGCAGUGAGGAAUAUUGGUCAAUGGGUGCAAGCCUGAACCAGCCAUCCCGCGUGAAGGACGACUGCCCUAUGGGUUGUAAACUUCUUUUGUAUAGGGAUAAACCUACCCUCGUGAGGGUAGCUGAAGGUACUAUACGAAUAAGCACCGGCUAACUCCGUG
rnacentral:rRNA from 1 species